AGUGAACGCUGGCGGUAGGCCUAACACAUGCAAGUCGAACGGCAGCACAGUAAGAGCUUGCUCUUACGGGUGGCGAGUGGCGGACGGGUGAGGAAUACAUCGGACUCUACUUUUUCGUGGGGGAUAACGUAGGGAAACUUACGCUAAUACCGCAUACGACCUACGGGUGAAAGCAGGGGAUCUUCGGACCUUGCGCGAUUGAAUGAGCCGAUGUCGGAUUAGCUAGUUGGCGGGGUAAAGGCCCACCAAGGCGACGAUCCGUAGCUGGUCUGAGAGGAUGAUCAGCCACACUGGAACUUAGACACGGUCCAGACUCCUACGGGAGGCAGCAGUGGGGAAUAUUGGACAAUGGGCGCAAGCCUGAUCCAGCCAUCCCGCGUGGGUGAAGAAGGCCUUCGGGUUGUAAAGCCCUUUUGUUGGGAAAGAAAAGCAGCAGGUUAAUACCCCGCUGUUCUGACGGUACCCAAAGAAUAAGCACCGGCUAACUUCGUG
rnacentral:rRNA from 1 species